UACAGAGGGGGCAAGCGUUGUUCGGAAUUACUGGGCGUAAAGGGCGCGUAGGCGGCCUUCUAAGUCGAACGUGAAAUCCCCGGGCUCAACCCGGGAACUGCGUCCGAUACUGGAAGGCUUGAAUCCGGGAGAGGGAUGUGGAAUUCCAGGUGUAGCGGUGAAAUGCGUAGAUAUCAGGAAGAACACCAAUGGCGAAGGCAGCUCUCUGGGACGGUACUGACGCUGAGACGCGAAAGCGUGGGGAGCGAACAGG
rnacentral:rRNA from 1 species